AUGCCCUACGGGUUGUAAACUGCUUUUCUAGCAAGAAGAAACCUUAGUACGUAGUACUAAGUUGACGGUACUGUAGGAAUAAGCACCGGCUAACUCCGUGCCAGCAGCCGCGGUAAUA
rnacentral:rRNA from 1 species